GGCACCUGAUAGCUGAAGCUACAAAAAAAUCAAACUUACUAAAUAGUAUAAAGACAGGAGACAGCACCCAAAGCAGCCGAGACCUAGCCCACCCUGGCUGAAAGACGGUGACUCCUGUGCCGAAGCAGAGGCUGACAUGGGUGAACAGGACUGCCUGGGGCAGAGCUGUGACCGCUGGGAAACAGAUGUCUUUUCUGCUGCUGAGCAGACUGGCAGGCAGCCGGUGAUGGGGCCCUACUUGGAAGACCCCCUCCUCUGCUGGCUCCUGCGAUUCUUCAGCCUCCUCGUCAGUGUCUACAGCAGUGGGACCAAUGGUGGAGGCCCUGCUCCUGGAGUUCAGGAUUCUGGAGCUCCUGAUCCUCUGCAGGGGAUCCGAGGAGGUUCUGUGCUGUUUCCUUUGCCCAAGAAGCAAGACGCUGAGCUGGAGGAGGGCACGUGGGGCUUUGGUCCUGGGUCAGAGUACAGAGUCCUGCUGCGAGUCCGUCCUGGGAAAGCUCCCACCUGGGUCAGCCUCCAGGACAGGUACCAGCAGAGGGUCCAUGUGCCCAACAUGACGUCCCUGAAGAUUGAGAACCUGACCCCUGAGGACAGUGGGCUGUACCGGGCUCGAGUUAGCUUCACUGGAGGAGUAGAACUUACCAAGGUUUUCCACCUCACUGUCUAUGAGCCAGUGACCAUUCCCCAGAUCCUGGUCCACUCAUCAUCCAUCACACCAGGCUGGUGCAAUGUUACCAUGGAGUGCAGGACCUCAGGGGACGCAGAGGACCUGAAGGUGACCUGGGAGGGCAAGGGCCUCCCCAGGGAGCUGGAGGAGAGAGUGACAUCAGGACCAACCCCCAAUUCGUGGACCCUGGCUGUGCACCUGCCCCAGAGCCAGCCCUACACCAACAUCACCUGUGUGGUCAGCAACGAAGUGGACCAGAAAACUGCCACCUUCAACCUUGGGGAAGUCUGUGUCCAUGGUGAGUGUACCUGCCACAGGGGAGGGGCACUCUUGGAGCUCGGGUGCAGUGGAGCAAAGGUUCUGGGCUGUUGUCCACACCACGUUAUUAGAACCACCUUCCACUGGGUCGCCCCAUAUAGGAGCCUGGGAGGUACAGCCAACCCAUCUUUGCUUUUAACGGUCUCUCACAUCUAAGCCUGCCUCUCCAUCCCUUGCCCAUUCUUGUCCAGGGCAUGAGCUUUCCAGUACUCUUCCCUCCCAUCCACUAUCCAUAGCGUGUCCUCUGUAAUCUUUUGGAAAAGAAAUUGGAUUGUGUAUUGGUCUGUGUCGUCUGUGGGGUCUGACCCAGUGAUUCCCUGUAGAAUUCAGGGCUCAGACAUUUCUCUGCCCAUGUUUCUGGCUUCACUUACACACUUCGUAGUGAAUGGUGUGUGUGUAUGUGGUUGUUGUUGUUAUUUUUGUCUUUUUAGGGCUGCACCCGCGACAUAUGGAGGUUCCCAGGCUAGGGGUCCAAUCGGAGCUGCAGCUGCUGGCCUGUGCCACAGCCACAGCAAUGCGGGAUCCAAGCCACAUCUGUGAUCUGCACUGCAGCUCACAGCAAUGCUGGAUCCUUAACCCACUGAGUGAGGCCUGGGAUCGAACUCACAUCCUCAUGGAUACUAGUUGGGUUUGCUAACCCCCGAGCCAUGACGGGAAAUCCUGUUGCUGUUUUUCAGUUUUUGAAUGUGUCCUGCAAGCUUUGAGCCUCUGAUCAUGCCGUUUCCUCCACCAUCAUUCCUCCCACUCUCGUCACUUCCUGAAGGAUUCCCUUCAGGCACUGCUGCUUCAUGAGCAUGUGACAAGCACCAUCACACAGGGCCCUGCACUUGGUUAUAGUUCUGUCAUUAAUACUAUUUGAGCAAAGGGCACCUCAAUCUCAUGCUGCACAGACCCCUGCAGGUGCUGUAACUGUCCUAUCCUCAGGCAUUACCCCUUAAAAGGAGCAGUCUGUGGCCACCCCCCGCCAAGCAGCAAUGCUUUGCUAAAGGAUUUGUCUCCUUUGUAGCUGGAACACUUCGAGAGCAGAAGUCAUGUCUUUUUUUUUUUUAAUUAAAUUAUAGUUGAUUUACAAUGUUGUACCAAUUUCUGCUGUAUAGCAAAGUGACCUAUUCAUAUGUAUUUAUAUAUCUAUUUUGAUAUAUAUAUGUAUAUACAUAUAUUCUUUUUCUCAUAUUAUCUUCCAUCAUGCUUUAUCACAAAUGAUUGGAUAUAUAUAGUUCCCUGUGCUAUACAGAAGGACCUCAUUGCUUAUCCUUUCUAAAUGCAGUAGUUUGCAUCCGCUCACCCCCAAUCCCAGUCCAUUUCAUUCCCUCCCCUCUCCCCCUUGGCAACCACAAGUUUGUUUUCUAUGUUUGUGAGUCUGUUUCUGUUUUGUAAAUAGGUUCACUUGCACCAUAUUUUAGAUUCCAUGUAUAAGUGAUAUCAUUGGUAUUUGUCUUUCUGAUAUACUUAAUAUAAGAAUCCUAGUUGCAUCCAUGUUGCUGUAAAAGGCAUUGUUUUUAUCUUUUUCAUGGUUGAGUAGUAUUCCAUUGUAUAUAUGUACCAUGUCUUCCUAAUCCAUUCUUCUGUUGGUGGACAUAUAGGUUGUUUCCAUGUCUUGCUGUUGUGAAUAGUGCUGCAGUAAACAUAGGGGUGCACAUCUUUCUUUCAACCCCUGAACCAAGGACAGCUUCUGGCAAAGUUUGCUCAUGGUCAGUGUUUCACUGAGUGAAUGACCUGAUACCCUAUCAGCAGCAUCCUGGAGUUUCAAAUAAAGUUCAACACUCAACAUGACCCUUAAAACCCUCUGGAAAGAGACUCUUCCUCCCUCUGAUCCUCUUCAGCCAGCUCCUCCCUGCCAUGUCCCUCUCCUGCCUGCCACAGUAAGGUGAUGGCAGUUCUAAGGCCAAUGGUUUGCCACAGCCAUUGCCUGGACGUGGGCCUCCUCCUUCCUGGAAUGCAGUCCUCAACCUGAAUACGUAGUAAACUCCUACUCCUGCCUCAAGACUCAGUUUUAAACAUCACCUCCUCUAGGAAGCCCUCCCUGAAGACGUGUGUAUGGGUGGAAACCUCUAUUGCAUGGCAGUCUCUCUGGCUGGUAGACGUUGGUGUUUUCUCAGUGUUCUCUCUGGGUGACCACACCUUGUUCCUUCCAGUCUCCCUGAACUCAAGCAGGAGCUCAGGAGGAGGCUGACUGAAUGAACCUGCCAAGCUCCUCCCUCUUCAGCUUCUGAACCAGGACCCUUCAGACCUCUCCACGUGCUCGCUCCUCUCUUUCCCCUUGGCAAUAGGCAUCUCAAGUUCUUUCUGGCCUUAAUGUUCUCAUUCUCUCCGUGUGAGGGAAACAGGUUCACAUGGACAAGCCAAAGCUGUUGCCCUGCCAGGCAUCUUAGGGGCAGGGGCUACUGUGGCUACACUAUUACUGAUCCUUGGAAUUGGACUCUGCCUUUGGAAGAAGAAGAAGAAGAAGAAGAUGGAGACUGCAAGAGGCAGGUUGCCCUUCUCCUUUCUGGCCGAGUUUUCUCCCCUCACCCUUCCUCCUGCAUUUUGCUGCUCCAGGAAUACCUAUGUAGAGGGGAUGGUGGAUUUGGUCAUGGCCUUGGGGUUCAUAACAGUGGGAGAGGGUAUGGGUUUUCAAGGCCCGGGUUCAAGUUUCACUCUGUGUAUGACUCUGGAGCAGGAUUGCAGGAGGAGUCUAAGGACCGUGACGGUGGCAUCCAAUAUGUAGAGCUGAGCCAGCAGGAUUCUCGAGAGAGCACGGACCAGGUGAGAUCUGGCACUAUGCCCAGCCUGGGUUUUCCUCACCUGAGUUUGGGCCUGUGAACACAGUCAUCUGCUUUUCUAGGCCUCUCUGCCUCUAACCCUUUCUAGACAGUCAAUAGUAUUUACUAAGAAAAUUGAUACCUGGGACCGGUGUAGUACUGGGCACUUUGGGGAAAUCGACACGAAAUUCAAUCAGCAGCAUCAGUCCAUGGGGGUCCCCCUGGGACCUCUCUCAGUUGUUGUGGGAACCUUCUGCUUGCAUUCCUAGGGUGAUGGUGAACGACGUCUAAAUGAAAAGGAGUCUCUUAAUACUGUCUACAGUGAGGUCCAUAAGCCAGCAAGUGUGCCCAUGAAGAUAAUUUAAUUGGAGGAGGCAGAAGAAUUGACACUCCUAGGACACCUCCAUUCUGAAUUUGAUCCCUGCAGAUACCUGCCCCUACGAGUGCUGGUCCAGCACCAGCUGCCUCUGGUCUGCAUUCCUCUGACCUUUGUGCCCUCAACUCCCUGGGCUCACGUGGCCCUGUCACUUCCUCUGUCAACUCUAUAUGCUGCCUUCCACUCAGGUUCCUCACUCCAGAAGGACUAGUGCUCUUUCUCCGUCAUUGACUCUGCUCCUGAUUCCUCUCCUUCUGAAGUUUCCCUAGGAGGAUCUCCCUACCUGUGCAUGUGUUCAUCCCCACAGCCUCUGCGCUGUGGCUGGUGUGUAUCUUUCUGAGAACAGGAGCCUGGGCGUGGGGACUGUGUGGAGGUUUCGACUACACCAUAGAGGGAGUUAGGAACUUGGAGCUGGGUGUUGAGCUGAGUGUCCAUGGAGGUGGCCUGGAUGGAUGGGUAGGAGCCUACAAAAGACGGGCCUGAGGCGUCCUUUGUAUGGCAAAAGGUGUUGGAGGGACUGUCUAGUAUACAUCAUACAUGGGGGCCAGAGCCCUUGAUCCUGAUCACCCAUACUAACCUCAGCUUCAGCUCAUGGGCCUUAAAUCCAUCUCUCGUGGAAUGUGAAGAGGAAUUUGUAUUGUCUCUGGUCCUUCCAAGCCAACUCCUUUUCAGAGAAAGACCCCAGGAACCCAAUGUUGGGACUCUGUGUUCUUCCCUGUCUGGGCCAGGGGUUCUUGUCAUUAGAAUGGUCAUGCAGGGAGUUCCUGUUUUGCAGCAGUGGAAACAAGUGCUACUGGUAUCCAUGAGGAUGCAGGAUCCAGUAUUGCUGUGAGCUGUGGUGUAGGUCGCAGAUGCGGCUUGGAUCCCACAUUGCUGUGGCUAUGGUGUAGGCUGGCAGCUAUAGCUCUGAUUUGACCCUUAGCCUGGGAAUUUCCACCUCCAUGUGCUGUGGGUGUGGCCCUAAAAAGAAAAAGAAAAAGAAUGGUAGUGCAUGUUCCCCCACCACCCCCAUGGUGAGGCUGCUAUGAGGUGUGAAGGGUGAAACUUAGGGGAAGGUCUGAACCAGCCCUCUCCUGCCUCUUCUACUGACCCUCAGACCCCACAGUCCUGCUGGCCUCAGAUCCUGGGUCAGUCUCCUCUUUGCUCACUCACAUCCCUCUGCCUGGAAUGAUGGAUCCUUUACCCUGUCUCUUAUUCCCAUCCCUGGCUGUUGAAAACCUACCAACCCACCCAAAGCCUCUCUUCAAGUCACGUGUUCCAGGGAGCCUGUCUGCUACCAAGAGUUGGAAAUGUCCUCUCCCACAUCUGACCUUCUUGAACACCAUGGACAUAACUAAGGCCCUUGCUGCUAUCGGCCAUGGACUGGUCAUGCCAGACUUGCCUAGGGCUCCCUCAAGAGGGUGUUGGGGUUUAGGAGGCAAGGACCAAGAAGACAAACACCUGUCUCUAAGCCUCCUCACAACUUCCACGGGGACUCAGCAGACUGAGACCCAGAGCACAGAGGCUGCUGAAGGUCUCGCUGGUGGUGAGCCCACUUGGAAGCAAAGAGGGAUGUGAUGACCUCCCAUGACCUUGCCUGGCCCAGAGAUCUGAGGAGGGGCUUCCCCACCCCAUCUCCAGCCUCCCAUUGCCUGAGGACCUGAUACAGCCUGCACUGUGCUGUGUGGGGUCUUCUCCUCCCCCUGGGGGUUUUCAUCUCAUCAAAGCCUCUGCCUCCUGCCUUCGGUCUCAGCUCUUGGGUCAGAGAUGGGCUCGCUCUGGAACGAUGAUCUGUGGAAACUUGACUGCUGGUCUAGAUUCCUGGAUUUCUUGGUUCCCUUCCCAGCUCAGCAAGCUCAGCUGAUUCACCUCUAACUUCAGAAAGCAAAGUUCUGAGCUAAAACCUUGAGCAUGAUGAAGCAAGGCUGGGAGCCUUCUUCCCAUGGAUAAAGGAGGAUGAGAGUUUCAAUAAUAAAGCUGUUUCUAACCUCUUUCUGCUCAGGCUGAACAGAAGGCUAAGAGAAAAAGAGGAGGUCUGCCACUGGCCUCCCAGGUGACCGGUCAUGCCUGGGUGUCAGUGCCCAUCAGCCCAGAAGCAAUGUAAGAGGUGACUACCCAUUGAUCCCUCCCCUCCAACCUAUAGCAGGAGAGAAAAAAAAAA
rnacentral:lncRNA from 1 species